rnacentral:ncRNA from 4 species
ACGGAAGGGCACCACCAGGAG